rnacentral:rRNA from 1 species
AUACAUGCACUAAAGCUGUUCCUUUGGGGCAGUGCAUUUAUUGGAGCAAAACCAGGCGGCUUCGGCCGUUUUUGGUGAGCCAGAAUAACUAAGCUGAUCGCAUGGGCUUGUCCCGGCGACGUGUCUUUCAAGUGUCUGCCUUAUCAACUUUCGAUGGUAGUGUACGGGACUACCAUGGUUGUGACGGGUAACGGAGGAUAAGGGUUCGACUCCGGAGAAGGGGCCUGAGAAAUGGCCACUACGUCUAAGGAUGGCAGCAGGCGCGCAAAUUACCCACUCUCAGUUCGAGGAGGUAGUGACGAAAAAUAACGAGGUCGUUCUCAAUCGAGGCCGACCAUCGGAAUGGGUACAAUUUAAACCCUUUAACGAGUAUCAAUGAGAGGGCAAGUCUGGUGCCAGCAGCCGCGGUAAUUCCAGCUCUCAAAGUGCAUAGAACCAUUGCUGCGGUUAAAAAGCUCGUAGUUGGAUCUGUGCCGGUGAAGUGGUCUAUCUUCAGGGAUAGUACUGCUCUCAUUGGCUUUGGGCCGGUCUUCGUGCUGGGUAGCCUUCACGGGUUGCUUGGCAUGGCUGGCUGGUUUACUUUGAGCAAAUCAGAGUGCUCAGCACAGGCGUUUCGCCGGAAUGUUCGUGCAUGGAAUAAUAGAACAGGAUUUCGGUCCUCUUUUAUUGGUUUUGUGGACUGAGAUAAUGAUUAAUAGAGACGAGCGGGGGCAUUCGUAUUGCUGCGCUAGAGGUGAAAUUCUUGGACCGCAGCAGGACGAACUACAGCGAAAGCAUUUGCCAAGUGCGUCUUCAUUAAUCAAGAACGAAAGUCAGAGGUUCGAAGGCGAUCAGAUACCGCCCUAGUCUGACCCGUAAAAA